UCCCUGGUGGCUCAGACGGUAAAGCGUCUGCCUGCAAUGCAGGAGACCCAGGUUCGAUCCCUGGGUCGGGAA
rnacentral:tRNA from 1 species